GCAGCGUCAUGGACAUUAUUUGGGAAACUGUAGCAUGCCAAAAGGCCUUUAAAGUAUUAAAGAAAAAUGACAAAAGGAGAGGGUGUAGGUGCAUAUGGCAUACCGGCCGGUGAACACACCAUAGUUGUGUGUGGUGACUGGCUCCACCGUGACUCCAAUUCCAUCUGUUUCUUGAUCAUCAUCUUACAUUAUCAUUCACUAGUGCCUCUCCAAUCCUUGCAGAAGAGAAGAACCGUGCACCUGAAGAGGAGGGUAAACAGCAGUUAAAAGCCAGCAAAAUAAACCUGAAAUGUGAGCGAUGAAUCCAGGUAAAGAGAGACGAGU